GACGAACGCUGGCGGCGUGCUUAACACAUGCAAGUCGAACGGUGAAGCGCCUUCCUUUUUGGUGGGUGUGGAUGAGUGGCGAACGGGUGAGUAACACGUGAGUAACCUGCCCCCUUCUUCUGGAUAACCGCAUGAAAGUGUGGCUAAUACGGGAUAUUCUGGGUCUGUCGCAUGAUGGGUCUGGGAAAGAUAUUGUUUCGGUGGGGGAUGGGCUCGCGGCCUAUCAGCUUGUUGGUGGGGUGAUGGCCUACCAAGGCGGUGUCGGGUAGCCGGCCUGAGAGGGUGGACGGUCACACUGGGACUGAGACACGGCGCAGACUCCUACGGGAGGCAGCAGUGGGGAAUAUUGCACAAUGGGCGCAAGCCUGGUGCAGCGACGCCGCGUGAGGGAUGGAGGCCUUCGGGUUGUGAACCUCUUUCGCCAGUGAAGCAGGCCUGCCUCGUUUGUGAGUGGGUUGACGGUAGCUGGAUAAGAAGCGCCGGCUAACUACGUG
rnacentral:rRNA from 1 species